UUUAGCCUUUGCAUUGUCCACUAAAGGGGAAGGCAGUGGGCUGACGGCCUCCCAACAUAAGCAAAUUGCCAAUAAAUUAUGUUCUCUGCUGGGAGGGUGAGGGAAGAGACUGAAUCACUGAUUCAAGAGAGCGAGAGAGAGGGCGAGCGAGAAAGAGAGAGAGAGAGGGAGAGAGAGUAUGUGGAUCGGACUGACUAGCACCGGCCCGCACGCGCGUGUCUAUUUCCUCUUUCAGUGGUGUGGUGCACACGCGUUUCACUAGUUUUGACAAGGGAAUGCUUUUUUUUUUGGAGGCGGCAUCUCUUGUUUUCCAUCAACGCGCGCUUGAUGCGGAUUAAAUCACUCUUCAAACAUCAAUCUCGUCUCAGAGCGGAUCAGCACCUUGGACAGCGGAUGCCAGAGGCUCUAAAAGCCGGCAGAGCAGAAAGAGAGCUGUGACCACCCAUUCCGUCUUCACGACUGACAGUGCGCUCAGCUCCGAUGCAGGAGUAAGAGACAGCGACAAGAGACCAGCACAG
ensembl:lncRNA